GGUCCUAUGGUGUAGUGGCAGCACAUGGGAUUUUGAUAAGUGCUGCGUCGUAGAUUCCCACAACCCAGGUUCGAACCCUGGUAGGACCU
rnacentral:tRNA from 1 species